GACUUUAUAUUCAAUCAUGAUAUUAGACUGCAAUUCUAAAGGAGUAAUUUGUAGUUACUAAAGUUU
rnacentral:tRNA from 1 species